rnacentral:tRNA from 1 species
AUCCGUUGUAGUCUAGUUGGUCAGGAUAUUCGGCUCUCACCCGAAAGACCCGGGUUCAAGUCCCGGCAACGGAAAACCUUUUUCCUCAAUUACUUCCUCCCCAUAUUAAACGACGUCGUAC